GGGUCGGUAGCUCAGGUGGUAGAGCAGCGGACUUUUAAUCCGUUGGUCGCGGGUUCGAGUCCCGCCCGACCCA
rnacentral:tRNA from 1 species